rnacentral:sRNA from 1 species
GGGGGAGAGAAAGAGACGGUGACGA